rnacentral:rRNA from 1 species
UACGUAGGGUGCGAGCGUUGUCCGGAAUUAUUGGGCGUAAAGAGCUCGUAGGCGGUCUGUCGCGUCGGAUGUGAAAAUCCAGGGCUCAACCCUGGACCUGCAUUCGAUACGGGCAGACUAGAGUUCGGUAGGGGAGACGUGGAAUUCCUGGUGUAGCGGUGAAAUGCGCAGAUAUCAGGAGGAACACCGGUGGCGAAGGCGGAUCUCUGGGCCUUACCUGACGCUCAGGUGCGAAAGCUAGGGGAGCGAACAGG